UUGCAGAUAUAAAGACUUAACGUCCUCUGUGUUUCUACAUAACGGACACAGCAUGGGCAUCAGCAGUGCAGAUUUUCCCACACUGCCCUGUACCUCAGUUUUGACACAGUGUGAUCCCCUCUAGGGAUGAGAUUAUCACUCAGUCUCCAUAUUGAUUCGGUCUUUUGCUGAA
rnacentral:sRNA from 1 species